GACGAACGCUGGCGGCGUGCUUAACACAUGCCAGUCGAACGGAAAGGCCUGCUUUCCCUUGUGGAUUGCGGGUACUCGAGUGGCGAACGGGUGAGUAACACGUGAGUGAUCUGCCCCCAACUUGGGUAUAAGCCUGGGAAACUGGGUCUAAUUCCCGAUAGGACUGCAGGGUGGUGCCUGUGGUGGAAAACGAUUUUCUAGUGGUUGGGGAUGAGCUCGCGGCCUAUCAGCUUGUUGGUGGGGUAAUGGCCUACCAAGGCGGCGACGGGUAGCCGGCCUGGGAGGGUGGACGGCCACAUUGGGACUGAGAUACGGCCCAGACUCCUACGGGAGGCAGCAGGGGGGAAUAUUGCACAAUGGGCGGAAGCCUGAUGCAGCGACGCCGCGUGGGGGAUGACGGCCUUCGGGUUGUAAACUCCUUUCGACCGCGAGGAAGCCACCUGGUUGGAAGGGUGGUGACGGUAGUGGUAGAAGAAGCACCGGCUAACUACGUG
rnacentral:rRNA from 1 species